AAAAAGGCCCUUUUCAGGGCCACCAAAUUUAUCAUUAAUCUGUUU
rnacentral:ncRNA from 1 species